CUAACUCAAGAUCUGAGCUAAAAAUCAUAAGCCUUAAUGGCAGCUCUGAGAGACCUCUCAUCUAUUGUCAUCACAGGGAAGAUAACGGCUGCCAACCAAGCCCAAAACUUGAUUGUUAAAGGGUUAUAUGAUGGCAAUACAGAUUAGAUGCUUAAUUACACAAAAGUGACUGGUAUGGAAAUGUGGUCAUCUUCUCCAGGCAUCAUGGAGCAUUCUGUACAACAUACCAGGU
rnacentral:lncRNA from 1 species